UUCAAAAAUACAGAAGCUGCUUCUGACCUAAUUGAUCAAAACUGCUUUUCUUCAGGAAACAGUGCAAAAUAUCUUCUUUUCAAGGCAAAUGAAUUUGGGGACUGGUGAGAGAGAGAAAGGGUGGUUGUGGUAGAGGAAAUAUUUUUAUCCAGGCCUCAGGAAACGGUGGUCUGGCUGCAGUGGUGGGGAUGGUUACAUGAACAGAAUUCGCUCAGGGCAGAGCCUGCCAUCACUUACAUCUGCCCCCAAACUCCUGGACUGCAAGAACUGAUGUCAAUAUCCACCUGGAAAUAUCCAGUGAGCAAGGGCUGUGGAAGCUGCUACCCUGAAGCAACCCUGCAAGCUCAAGUGAGGGUCUGAAAUGAUUCAGCCUCUCUUCCCUGCUGUCAUUAAGACUAAAGUAUGAUUCCUUGGAAUAUAUUUGUGAGCACAGUGAGAAUCUGGAGUGGUAGAUGGCUCUGGCAAGCUGAGCUACUCUUCCUGAAUUUCGUGCUGGUUCAAUCUGUCUUUUGGUGUUGGCAUUGUCAGUGGGAGUUUGGCCUGCAGCCUGGAGUCUACUGAUGUUUUCCCAAGAGAUAAAAAUAAGAGAAUGAUAAAAAGAAGCAAUAUUGUUGGGAUGCCUAGGAUUUCAAAAUAUUACUUCAUAAUAAGCAUAAAACACAUCUUAAAGCACAUAUUAUGGGUCCAGAAGAACACAUUUUUCAGUCUUUGAGAAGUACUUAAACUACUCUGGCAGAUGAAGAUUUGGAUUUGGCUUGCUUGAUGCUGGACGAUUAAUGAAGGAAGCCCUAACUGGACAAAUGUUGGUCUCCUGAGACAAUGUGUUGUUGAUAACAGAAAAGGAUUGACAAUAAGAUGUGGAUGUUCAUCUUUAAUGAACUCUAGUCACCAAGUGGAAACCAGCUAACUUUGAUGAUGCAAUUGACUACUUUCUUAGCAAUAGCUGAAUACUUGCUCCUCAAAAUGAGCAAGCCUGUUAACUGCGAAUGUGAAGAGAUGAAGCAAGCAAAAAAGAAAAAGUGUGAAGAGCUUUGCUGCCAUGUCAUCACUGUGUCAGAUAGUUUUAGGACCAAUGAGUGAAUAGGAGGAAGAUGGUGAAGGAGACUCACACAGCACGGGACCCUGCAGCAGACGGAGGUUGGUGACUCUCUGGCAGGAAGCACUGAAAUGUGGAUGGUAAUGCUGACCCCAACACAAGGUCCCAUGUCUGUGGGGCUUAGGACUGAGGUGGUGCCCACCAGAGUGGGACGAAGGAAAUUAUCAGAGAACCUCUGAAGAGCUUUUCUUCAUGAAGGCGAGGCAAGACUGAAAGACAAGAAAGUGCAGCCCAGGGAAAAAAUGUUCUCCCACAAUGUGGCAUCGUGGCUGUCAUCAAAACACCAUCCAUUCUGACUGUUGGCACUGAAGUGAAGAUAAGCUUUCAAAAGGUUGGUAUUCACCCCGACUCAUUUUAUUUUUGAGUCAUUUAUGGCCUGGUUUCUUUGUCUCUGCACUUUCUAGCAUGACAAAAGGCAUGGGGCAGGUGUUGGGAUGAUAUUGGUUUUUCUCAUUUUCUCAUUUCUGAGGCACCAUGAAGAACAAUCAACGAGCAUGGAGCAUGCUCUGGAUAUGUCUAAAUGUAAGUGGCUCAAAUAGUAACAUGUGAAUUUAGUAAAGUUAAACUCUGUGGAAUGGAGAUAAAUGACAGCAGCAAUUGAAGUUGAAUGUGAUAUAGAAAUCCAACUAACAGAAGACUGUCUGGAAACAAUUAUUUAGAAAGCUGCUGACCCUCUAUUUCUUUAAAGAGUUAAACAUUUGGAUCGGUUAACUGGCAGCUGCAAUAAUAGGCAUAUGCUCUAAUCUUUGAUCCAUAGCUGAAUUUGUAACUCUUUGUAUGAGAAGCAGAUCACAUAGAUUUGCAUAUUUUUAAGGAUCUGUAGGGAGAAAAAGAAGAAUAAAACCUGCCUUUCCAAGAUGCCACUUUGAGAUCACACAGAGUGUCAUGGGUCCUCCCAAGUACACUAAUGUUCAGAGCCAGUUGCAAGACUCACAAAUUUUAUAAAUGGCCCUAAACUGUGACAUUCAUAUCUGAAGAUUAAUCAAAAUUCCUCCUAGAACAGGCUUUUGCAAGCCAAGGUUGCAUUGUAACUCUUCAGAGAGUUAUGUAUGUCUAUCCUUAAGAUCCCAUUUCCACAUCUAAACUUGUGUCAGAACACUCCUAAAAUCUUAAAGAGUCCAGAAGUAAGAAAUAAAUUUAAAAAUGCUUUGUAAAAAUGAGAAACUGUUGAUUAGACUCAAAUGCAUGAACAAGUAACAGAUUUAUGCCAAGGUCUUAACAUUUUCUUAGAUUUGGCAAAAUUUUUCAGUGUUGAUGAAAAUUUGCAGAGAGAAGACAACCAUGAGUCACCCCAUUAAUAGAAUGGAUACAAUCAACCAAUUUUCUUUGUGUUCGAAGUUCAUUUCUUGCUCGUCUCUGUUUUCAACACCAACUGAAAGAUGUUUACUAAUCCCUUAUUUUGGAUCAACAGUCAUACCUAUGGCACAGAUUUCCUCCAUUUGGUAGUAUUCCAUCAGGAAGUAGGUCCUACCGAGAGAAGUGGGCAAUAUACUGAGUACUGUGAAGGGAAGAAGUAAUCAUCUCUGCAAAUGUGCUCAAUUGUGUGGGAUGUUUCAACAUAGUCUUUACUCGAUUCACACUUCACAAUAGGCUUUCUCUCCUGGUUCACCUACACAACAUCAAUGAAGAUGAUGAGAGCAGCUAUUUGUUAUUUGUCUGUGAAUAUUUCUUAUCAUUCCAAAUAAAAGUGCAGACUACUGCAUGGGGCUAUGCAGAGAUGUGUGACAAAAGCAAUGUAAAGAAGUCAUUCUUCAAAAAAUAUUCUGUGUAGCUUUCUUGUAGUUGCCCACAGUAAGCCAUAUGGGGGCAUGGAGGAUUUUUAGAAGCCUGAGUGACACUGGAGGCAGCACUUUCAGGCACUAUCUGUCUCGUCCUAUCUGCCUUGUUAAGUCCUGGCAAAAAUCCCAUGAAGAGGAGAGGAAGGUGUUGCACAUUCCUGGGUAAGGUGUAGUAAGGGGAUGGGGAGAUGCAAUGGUGGGUGUGAUCAGACCACUGGCAAGUGAACUAGAACUUGAGCCUUGAACAAUAGUUUCAGUAUCUUAGAGAGGGAGAGAAUAGAGAAAGAGAAUAGCAUACAAGUUUUAAUGAGAAAAAUUGAUUGCUAAUGCAGAGGUUUGGAGAAGGGACCAGCCUGUGUCCUGACAGUACGUACAUUCCACGACAUAAACAGACUUCAAAGUAACCCAAAAGCCAAAAUAAAGGUUUG